AGCAGCCGCGGUAAUUCCAGCUCCAAUAGCGUAUAUUAAAGUUGCUGCAGUUAAAAAGCUCGUAGUUGAAUUUCGGGACCAUCAUGUCGGUCGUGCCUCGGUACGUACUGGCAUUGUUGGUUUCUCCCUUCUGACGAACCAUGAUGUCAUUUAUUUGGUGUCGUGGGAAAUCAGGACUGUUACUUUGAAAAAAUUAGAGUGUUUAAAGCAGGCUCACGCUUGAAUACAUUAGCAUGGAAUAAUGAAAUAGGACGUUUGAUUCUAUUUUGUUGGUUUCUAGGAUCAACGUAAUGAUUAAUAGGGAUAGUUGGGGGCAUUAGUAUUCAAUUGUCAGAGGUGAAAUUCUUGGAUUUAUUGAAGACUAACUACUGCGAAAGCAUUUGCCAAGGAUGUUUUCAUUAAUCAAGAACGAAAGUUAGGGGAUCGAAGACGAUCAGAUACCGUCGUAGU
rnacentral:rRNA from 1 species